rnacentral:rRNA from 1 species
CAGUCGCCGCGGUAAUACGAAGGGGGCUAGCGUUGUUCGGAAUGACUGGGCGUAAAGGGCGCGUAGGCGGUUUGCCAAGUUAGAUGUGAAAUUCCCGGGCUUAACCUGGGGACUGCAUUUGAUACUGGCAGGCUUGAGUGUGGAAGAGGGUCGUGGAAUUCCCAGUGUAGAGGUGAAAUUCGUAGAUAUUGGGAAGAACACCGGUGGCGAAGGCGGCGACCUGGUCCAUAACUGACGCUGAGGCGCGAAAGCGUGGGGAGCAAACAGGAUUAGAGACCCCCGUAGUCCCUGUCUCUUAUAA